rnacentral:lncRNA from 1 species
UUUCUUCAUUGAACCGAAGCUCUCUUCUCUCUCCCCCCCCCCCCUCUUUCUCUACCUCUCUCUCUCUAAAAACGAUCUACCUCACAAGCCGCUGAUGUAAACCUUCAAAGCCGCCAUCCUUGAGCUAAAAUACCCCUGGAAAGACACCUAGAAAGUGUUGUGAAGAAUUUGGCCAAAGUUAGGGUUCGAAAGUCAGAUUAAAAAAAUUAGGGCUUUUUUUGUUAGGGGUAUUUUAUUGUUUUUAAUGUUGAGUUUAGAGAGAAUGAUUUUGUCACCGUUGCCAACUAAUUAGACGAAACCAAUAUCAGUUAUAGAAUCCACAGAGGCUGAUAUACAAAGAACUCGUGACUUAGAAAAGGUUUUGUUUUAUCUUUAUCUAUAAUUACUUUUUUUUAUAUAUGAAACCCUGAUUUUGAUUUCCUUUGGGGUUGAUGUUUCUGGUUGAAGCUGGGCUUUAUGAAAGCAAAGAAGAAGCAGCGAAGAGAGAAGAGGUUCUCAGUCGAAUUAAUCAUGCAAGAAUUUUUUUUAAAAAAUUAUGAGUGAUUUUGAAACUAAGAUGACAUCUUGUGAUAUUUUUGUUAUCAGUUGGUUCAUUCUUCAUUUUGUAAUUUGGUUAUGAAUUGAGCUUGUUUGAGUUGUAUUGGUUAUCUUAGAGAUUUUAUUUUGUUAGAGAAUUUAGUGAUUUUGUAAUCAGGAAGUUUUGUGGGCGUGUUUGGAUUUGGGUGUUCUAGGGUUUGCGAACUUGAAUGAGGUUGUGAUUUGGUGAAAUUGAAAUUGAUGUCAAUUUUGAGCUUGAACUAUUGAUUCUAUAGAUGGGUUUUCCCAUACUUUCUAAUACGAACUUCUGAAAUACGGCCAUUAGGGUCUAUGAGUGUAGCAGUUUUAGAAAGUUUGCAUCCAAAGUUUUUCACAAAGCUCUUUGGAAUCCUCUACAAUUACACAAGCAAGGUUAGACUAUAAACAGCCAACAAAAUGCUUUCAUCGUGAUAUUGCAUAUGAUAAAUUCAGUGAGCAUACAUGAAUGACAUAGAAACAAGAAGAUGAGUCCAAGAACCAAUAGAACAAUGAAACUGAAUUUAAUGUCAUCAAUAUAAAAGAUGUUAUUAAUAGAAACUAGAAAACAGGGGAACCAAGGAUUUUUUAUGAUAAUAUUAUGCAAAUUAAAAGGGGUUGGUAGUGAAGUAAAGCCAAAUAAAGCCAUAAAAAAUUUACUCAUUUCACUGUUAUUUAUACCCACAUAAUGAAUCCCACUUCCUCCACUUAGAAAAUUGAAGAAGACAAUUUUUUGCCUCAUAAUUCGUGAGCUAAAUUAAUCUGAAAAGUCUAGCUAUUACA